rnacentral:rRNA from 1 species
UACGAAGGGAGCUAGCGUUGUUCGGAAUCACUGGGCGUAAAGCGCACGUAGGCGGAUGUGUCAGUCAGGGGUGAAAUCCCGGAGCUCAACUUCGGAACUGCCUUUGAUACAGCACAUCUGGAGUCCGGAAGAGGUGGGUGGAAUUCCUAGUGUAGAGGUGAAAUUCGUAGAUAUUAGGAAGAGCACCAGUGGCGAAGGCGGCCCACUGGUCCGGUACUGACGCUGAGGUGCGAAAGCGUGGGGAGCAAACAGG